AGGUACGCAAUCCAGUGAUUGAAAAUUAAUUCACCUUAGUCAGAAGACAGUUAAUUCCUGACACUGCAACAAUUUGUCUUGUCAAGAUGUGAUAUUUGCAGAGAACUAGAAUAGCAUGACAACAAAAACCCUUCUGACUUGUGGGAUUUCAAACAAAAAGGUUAAAAUUGCAUUCUGCAGCUAUACAAAUUAGCAUAGACCUUC
rnacentral:lncRNA from 1 species